rnacentral:rRNA from 1 species
ACGGGUGAGUAUAAUGUGGGAAUCUGCCUUUUGGUUUGGAAUAACACGGGGAAACUUGUGCUAAUACCGAAUAAGCCCUUACGGGGAAAGUUUUAACGCCGAAAGAUGAGCCCGCACUUGAUUAGCUAGUUGGUAAGGUAAAAGCUUACCAAGGCAAUGAUCAAUAGCUGUUCUUAGAGGAAGACCAGCCACAUUGGGACUGAGACACGGCCCAGACUCCUACGGGAGGCAGCAGUGAGGAAUCUUGCACAAUGGGGGAAACCCUGAUGCAGCGAUGCCGCGUGAGUGAAGAAGGCCUUUGGGUUGUAAAACUCUUUCGUCGGGGAAGAAAAUGACUGUACCCGAAUAAGAAGGUCCGGCUAACUUCGUGCCAGCAGCCGCGGUAAUACGAAGGGACCUAGCGUAGUUCGGAAUUACUGGGCUUAAAGAGCUCGUAGGUGGUUAAAAAAGUUGAUGGUGAAAUCCCAAGGCUUAACCUUGGAACUGCCAUCAAAACUUUUUAGCUAGAGUGUGAUAGAGGUAAGUGGAAUUUCUAGUGUAGAGGUGAAAUUCGUAGAUAUUAGAAAGAACACCAAAUGCGAAGGCAACUUACUGGGUCACUACUGACACUGAGGAGCGAAAGCAUGGGUAGCGAAGAGGAUUAGAUACCCUCGUAGUCCAUGCUGUAAACGAUGUGUGCUAGACGUUGGAAAUAUAUUUUUUCAGUGUCG